rnacentral:rRNA from 1 species
CCCCCAGUCGAGCGGCGAACGGGUGAGUAACGCGUGGAUGACCUGCCCUUUAGUGGGGAAUAACCCGGGGAAACUCGGGCUAAUACCGCAUAAGACCGAGAGGUGAAAAGGGGCCGCAAGGCUCUUGCUGAAGGAGGGGUCCGCGUUCGAUUAGCUAGUUGGUAGGGUAAUGGCCUACCAAGGCGACGAUCGAUAGCCGGCCUGAGAGGGUGAUCGGCCACACUGGAACUGAGACACGGUCCAGACUCCUACGGGAGGCAGCAGUGGGGAAUUUUGCGCAAUGGGCGAAAGCCUGACGCAGCAACGCCGCGUGGAGGAUGAAGGUCUUUGGAUUGUAAACUCCUGUCAGCGGGGAAAAAGGGACCCGACCUCAUACGUCGGGAACUUGAUUGUACCCGCAGAGGAAGCCCCGGCUAACUCUGUGCCAGCAGCCGCGGUAAUACAGAGGGGGCAAGCGUUA